CAGCCGCCGCGGUAAUACGGAGGGGGCUAGCGUUGUUCGGAAUUACUGGGCGUAAAGCGCACGUAGGCGGCUUGGUAAGUUAGAGGUGAAAGCCCGGGGCUCAACUCCGGAAUUGCCUCUAAGACUGCCGAGCUAGUAGGUGAGAGAGGUAAGAGGAAUUCCGAGUGUAGAGGUGAAAUUCGUAGAUAUUCGGAAGAACACCAGUGGCGAAGGCGACUCGCUGGACAAGUAUUGACGCUGAGGUGCGAAAGCGUGGGGAGCAAACAGGAUUAGAUACCCGCGUAGUCCCUGUCUCUUAUAC
rnacentral:rRNA from 1 species